UGGGAACAAUGCCUAAGGCGUACCCACAUUUGAUUUUUGACAAAUUUUCAACUAAGCUUGGUGAGAGGGCAGUUAACAUCCUAAAGCAUUUGUUUCCUGUGCCCAAGCCUGAUACAAAACGUAUCAUCACAUUUGCUAACCAGUCAGAUUACAUUUCAUUCAGACAUCACAUCUAUGAAAAGCAUGGAGUA